AUUUUCUCCUGCGAAACCAAAUCACAGAGGAAGAAUUUUUCUCACCAUUUGCUCUCUAUCUUCAUCCUUCAUCGGCAGGGAAUGACUUGACAGUUUGAUUAAAGAGCACAGGAAAAAGAAGCUCUUUGCUUGGAAUUUUGAACAUAGUUUAGCUGCUGUGAGAUCCAGAUAUAUUAUGGAUUAAAAUCUUGUAUUCGAGGUUGGAAUGAGAUGCAAUGAGUGCUGGGGAGAAUUGGAAGGACGAGCUAUUUCCAAUACUUGUGGUCAUCUCUUGUGCGCUGAAGAUGCCAGUAAGAUCCUUAGUAAUGAUGCAGCAUGUCCAAUUUGUGAUCAAGUGCUCUCUAAAAGCCUUACGAAACCUGUGGAUAUCAGUCCAAAUGACGAAUGGAUAAAUAUGGCCAUGGGUGGAGUAUCUCCUCAAAUACGUAUCUUUUAUAGUAAAUUAUUACUUACACCUCCUCCUCUGUCAAGUCCAUCUGCUGCCCAAUAUAAUUGAGCGGAAUUGUUAAUGUUACCUAACAAAAUAAUUUGCCCUUUAUAUUUGAGAGAGUCACAGACUUAAAA
rnacentral:misc_RNA from 1 species